CCUACGGGAGGCAGCAGUGGGGAAUAUUGGACAAUGGGGGCAACCCUGAUCCAGCCAUGCCGCGUGUGUGAAGAAGGCCCUCGGGUUGUAAAGCACUUUCAGUGAGGAAGAACGCCUGGUGGUUAAUACCCAUCAGGAAAGACAUCACUCACAGAAGAAGCACCGGCUAACUCCGUGCCAGCAGCCGCGGUAAUACGGAGGGUGCGAGCGUUCAUCGGAAUUACUGGGCGUAAAGCGCGCGUAGGUGGCUUGAUAAGCCGGUUGUGAAAGCCCCGGGCUCAACCUGGGAACGGCAUCCGGAACUGUCAAGCUAGAGUGCAGGAGAGGAAGGUAGAAUUCCCGGUGUAGCGGUGAAAUGCGUAGAGAUCGGGAGGAAUACCAGUGGCGAAGGCGGCCUUCUGGACUGACACUGACACUGAGGUGCGAAAGCGUGGGUAGCAAACAGGAUUAGAUACCCCUGUAGUC
rnacentral:rRNA from 1 species